rnacentral:rRNA from 1 species
UACGGAGGAUGCGAGCGUUAUCCGGAUUUAUUGGGUUUAAAGGGUGCGCAGGCGGAUUUUUAAGUCAGCGGUCAAAUCGUGGGGCUCAACCCCAUCCAGCCGUUGAAACUGGGGAUCUAGAGUGUGCGAGAGGUAUGCGGAAUGCGUGGUGUAGCGGUGAAAUGCGUAGAUAUCAGGAGGAACACCAGUGGCGAAGGCGGCUUACUGGACUGUAACUGACGUUGAGGCUCGAAAGCGUGGGGAGCAAACAGG